UCGAAAGUCGAAAUUAGUACAACAGCAACUCAGAAUUGGCUUAAGCAGUUAAUUAUAUGGUGUUAAAAAUGUUUCAGCCCUUGUGUUAGAUAAUUCUAUUAAGGACUACAAAAAUCAAGUCCUUGUCGCCUAAAAAAAUUUUCUUUUAUCAGUUUGUGUUAUUCCAAUGGUGUCCAUUCCCCAUACACGUGGUUGAGACCCAGAAGUGCGACAAUGGUUUUAUCACCUGCAUUGGAUGUGCAAUCUCGCCAUGCAGAAAAAGAGUGAGUGAUACAAGACAAUUUUGAACUAUUUGUCGUUAUCAGGACAAGUACCUAAUGAAGUAAACUCAAAAGUCUAUAUCAAGAUCAGCAGCCACAUUAUCAAUUUGAACAGCAGUUGCUUGCAGUUGGGUGCAAGAUGAAAUGUGAAAAGGUCCUUUGUCAAUAGCCAGAGUCGGUUGGCUCCCAUAGCCUUUGGACAAAAGAACAUAGAAGCAACAACAAAUUAUUUCCGACAGAGGAAUCUGAACCCAAAGUAGAGCCUGAGGAACAGCCAACAAUAUUUAAUCUACACUCCCUGAGACUGGCAUAUUAUGGUGGUGUCCACUUAUGUUUCUGUAGGAGUCACUGUCAAGGAAGAAAGCAGACUUGGCAGUUGGCAUCCCUCUCCAAAUUCAAAAUUCCCAAUAACAGCUGACAACAUUUUCAAGUUGGUCAUGAAUGGCCAGUGCAAGAGCCAGGCAUAUUUAAACCAGCAGACUAGCAAGUUAGUAGUAAUAUGUCUUUUCUCAACAAGACUCGAUCGUUAGGAGAGCCACCGCAAAUUAUAAAUGUCGCGCAAGUUCUCCAUUAUUGGUUGUCUGGCGAGUUUAAAUGAUCGUGCAGUACAUUUGGCAACCACACCACCAUGCUGCAGACCGUUAGUUCUACUCUCCGUUGCCUGCCAUUUUCAUGGAUCUUAAUUGGACCAAGAUUAUUGGACGAUCGUCAAGCCGUCAGUGAAAGCGACUAUACCAACCUGACCAUCUCAAUCAUGGUUGCUUGCAUCUGCCCCCUUGUUUUACACUUGGAUGUGAGGCGAAAAUGGUGAACAAGAAAGGGAAGAAGAAUUAAGAAUUAGAAGGUGUAUCAACUACAUACUGUGCAUUGCACCAAAGGCAUCAAACAGAAAAAUUCCGUCGUCACGGUCAUCUUGCUGGUGCAGAAUCUUUUAGGUGGUUCGCUUAUUCUUCAAUCAACUAGCUGGAGCGGAUGCUGGCUGGUGACGAUCAGCCAAGAAGCAACAAUAACCACCUCCUGCGUGAGCAGGAGAAAACAGAAAGGUCAUGUCCAUCCUUUCAUUGCUCUAGGAAAGUGCAGCUCCCGUGACAGAUUUGGUUAUUAAAUUCAUGCUGUUGGCCACCCACAUCUUUUAAAACAUAUCAAACGACACCGUGGUUAACUCCUGGAUAUUCACAAUUUUUUUUGAAAAUCAAAUUUUGCUUUAUUCGACAAGUUUUAAACGAUCCGAAAGAGAAUCCAUAGUUUCAAGUGAAGAACUGGCCGGAUGUCAAGUCUUGCACCAACUCCGCAGCUUGCAAAGAUCAUCAAAUACGGCUAAGAAACACAUCAGUGAAAAAUUCCAUCUUCACGCGUUAAUGGUCUGCGACGUUAUGGUGUUAGUCAACGCGGAUGUAUUAAGAGCUGGGCCCUUGCGAAUCUUCUCUCAUACCUAGGGGUAAUUUUGGAAUUGUCUUUUUUUUAUGGUAAGAGUACCAUGUAUACUUUUAUGGUUAUUUUUUGCGGUAAUUGCAUCUCGUCAUUAUUUAUGUGAUUUAUCCCCUCCCCCAUUUGUCACAUUUUUUUUCGGAAUUAUUUUAACAUUCCUUUUUGAAAGAGAAACAAAAAGGUUUGCAUUCAGGUUUGCCAUCUCAUGCCAGCCUAUUACAGCAGUAAUCAAUGUUCGAGUACAGCGGCGUACAAGAUUGUCGCACAAAUUACGAUGGCAAUCGAUCUCUGAAUUGUUUAUCUCAAGUUGAAGACUUGAAGAGCCCUCGCCUACUCGCGCCUACUAUACUUCUGGGAAAUUGUCAUACAACUUUCAAGUGGUUAAAAUUAUGGCCAGUAGAUGGCGCGCGUGUCUUCGUCUGAAAUGAAAUCCGCCAUUGGUUUUCGAGACACUUUACGAAAACGUGAAACUUUGAUAUGAUCAUGAUCAUCUAAUGUGCACAUGGAUUGGUUGCUGUCAUCCAGUGAAAGGUGUGAUUAAAUUGAGCUGUUGCAUGCAGUCUUUGGUGCUGAUGUUGUCCUUGGAGUGUGGGAGAGUUCCAUGCUUCAAAGUCUUCUGGGAUCAGCCAUAUCUGAGUUGACGCUAGAUCAUGCUGCAUUGUGAUUGCCAAAAUGUUGGACAUACAGUAGAACUGCAAGAAGACACCUUGAAAUGGUUUAUGUUUACGUAGCAGUGAUGUUGCUGUCCAAUAUGGCAUGUUGUUGCAGCCU
rnacentral:lncRNA from 1 species